GGGAAGCAGGCAGAUCCUCUUCGGAGGUGACGCCUGUGGAACGAGCGGCGGACGGGUGAGUAACACGUGGGCAACCUGCCUGUAAGAUUGGGAUAACCCCGGGAAACCGGGGCUAAUACCGGAUAAUACUUUUCGUUGCAUAACGAGAAGUUGAAAGGCGGCUUUUAGCUGUCACUUACAGAUGGGCCCGCGGCGCAUUAGCUAGUUGGUAAGGUAACGGCUUACCAAGGCGACGAUGCGUAGCCGACCUGAGAGGGUGAUCGGCCACACUGGGACUGAGACACGGCCCAGACUCCUACGGGAGGCAGCAGUAGGGAAUCUUCCGCAAUGGACGAAAGUCUGACGGAGCAACGCCGCGUGAGUGAUGAAGGUUUUCGGAUCGUAAAACUCUGUUGUCAGGGAAGAACAAGUGCCGUUCAAAUAGGGCGGCACCUUGACGGUACCUGACCAGAAAGCCCCGGCUAACUACGUGCCAGCAGCCGCGGUAAUACAUAGGGGGCAAGCGUUGUCCGGAAUUAUUGGGCGUAAAGCGCGCGCAGGCGGUCCUUUAAGUCUGAUGUGAAAGCCCACGGCUUAACCGUGGAGGGCCAUUGGAAACUGGAGGACUUGAGUACAGAAGAGGAGAGUGGAAUUCCACGUGUAGCGGUGAAAUGCGUAGAGAUGUGGAGGAACACCAGUGGCGAAGCGACUCUCUGGUCUGUAACUGACGCUGAGGUGCGAAAGCGUGGGGAGCGAACAGGAUUAGAUACCCUGGUAGUCCACGCCGUAAACGAUGAGUGCUAGGUGUUAAGGGGUUUCCGCCCCUUAGUGCUGAAGUUAACGCAUUAAGCACUCCGCCUGGGGAGUACGGCCGCAAGGCUGAAACUCAAAAGAAUUGACGGGGGCCCGCACAAGCGGUGGAGCAUGUGGUUUAAUUCGAAGCAACGCGAAGAACCUUACCAGGUCUUGACAUCCUCUGCCAAUCCUAGAGAUAGGAUGUUCCCUUCGGGGACAGAGUGACAGGUGGUGCAUGGUUGUCGUCAGCUCGUGUCGUGAGAUGUUGGGUUAAGUCCCGCAACGAGCGCAACCCUUGAUCUUAGUUGCCAGCAUUUAGUUGGGCACUCUAAGGUGACUGCCGGUGACAAACCGGAGGAAGGUGGGGAUGACGUCAAAUCAUCAUGCCCCUUAUGACCUGGGCUACACACGUGCUACAAUGGAUGGAACAAAGGGCAGCGAAGCCGCGAGGUCAAGCAAAUCCCAUAAAACCAUUCUCAGUUCGGAUUGCAGGCUGCAACUCGCCUGCAUGAAGCCGGAAUCGCUAGUAAUCGC
rnacentral:rRNA from 1 species